rnacentral:rRNA from 1 species
UACGUAGGGUGCGAGCGUUGUCCGGAUUUACUGGGCGUAAAGAGCGCGCAGGCGGUCGUUCAAGUCGCGUGUGAAAGCCCCCGGCUCAACUGGGGAGGGUCACGCGAUACUGAUCGACUCGAAGGCAGGAGAGGGAAGUGGAAUUCCCGGUGUAGUGGUGAAAUGCGUAGAUAUCGGGAGGAACACCAGUGGCGAAGGCGACUUCCUGGCCUGUUCUUGACGCUGAGGCGCGAAAGCUAGGGUAGCAAACGGG